CGGGGGGGGGGAGUCGGGAAGGUUGGGUCAGCAGACUGGUACUCCAGAGCAGCUGGCAAUCUGGAGGGUGGGCGUUGAACUGGAAGAAAGGAAAGGAAGAUAGAUGGCACGGGGAGGGCCUCUCCAGUUGGCGCUUAAGGGUUGGCACAGGAGACGGUGGCAGACUAAGAACCAGAGAACCCAUUUCUGAGCCCCACUGAAGAGAAAUGGGGGAAGACAACCCCUAGAGUCUUUUUCUUUUUCUUCCAUAGCCUUGCAGGUUUUUCUGCCCUGUGCUGCAGGCCUCUUCGGCUCCUCCAGGCCAUAGUCCACCCAGCUCCUGCCGUGGUUUUGCCGGUUGCCAUAAACCCGUAGAUCCGAACUUGCGGUACGACUGCCUCACACAAGCUCGAGUCUGUGGGUAUGUGUCGACCUUGGCCAGGACUUCCAGACAUGCUGUUGCACCCGGACCUUCUCUCUAGCGUUGGGGCUUAGAUACGGACCCCCCUGAAAGUUGGCGAGAGCUGAUGUCCCUGCAGCAAAAGCAAGCAGUAUGACAACUGCCAGAUCCCCGUUCUCUGGAAUCAUUUGGCUGAAAGGGCAGGGGAGAGCACAAAACGUGGGAAUUUAGCUUCCCAAGAACCUCAGCUUUUGUUUACCGUAUUUUUCGCUCUAUAGGACGCACCAGACCAUAGGACGCCC